rnacentral:rRNA from 1 species
AUGAACGCUAGCGACAGGCUUAACACAUGCAAGUCAGGGGUAACAGGGUAGCAAUACCGCUGACGACCGGCGCACGGGUGAGUAACGCGUAUGCAACCUGCCUAGUAACUGGGGGAAUAGCUCCCUGAAAGGGGAAUUAACACCGCAUAACACUAUUGAUUCGCAUGGAUUAGUAGUUAAAUGUAGCGAUACAGGUUAUAGAUGGGCAUGCGUGACAUUAGCUAGUUGGUGAGGUAACGGCUCACCAAGGCUACGAUGUCUAGGGGUUCUGAGAGGAAGGUCCCCCCACACUGGUACUGAGACACGGACCAGACUCCUACGGGAGGCAGCAGUGAGGAAUAUUGGUCAAUGGGCGCAAGCCUGAACCAGCCAUGUCGCGUGCAGGAAGAACCUGCCCUAUGGGUUGUAAACUGCUUUUAUAGUAGAAGAAACACAUCUACGUGUAGAUGUCUGCCAGUAUACUAUGAAUAAGCAUCGGCUAACUCCGUGCCAGCCGCGGC